ACCGAAUAGGGGAGCCGAAGGGAAACCGAGUCUUAACUGGGCGUUAAGUUGCAGGGUAUAGACCCGAAACCCGGUGAUCUAGCCAUGGGCAGGUUGAAGGUUGGGUAACACUAACUGGAGGACCGAACCGACUAAUGUUGAAAAAUUAGCGGAUGACUUGUGGCUGGGGGUGAAAGGCCAAUCAAACCGGGAGAUAGCUGGUUCUCCCCGAAAGCUAUUUAGGUAGCGCCUUGUGAAUUCAUCUCCGGGGGUAGAGCACUGUUUCGGCAAGGGGGUCAUCCCGACUUACCAACCCGAUGCAAACUGCGAAUACCGGAGAAUGUUAUCACGGGAGACACACGGCGGGUGCUAACGUCCGUCGUGAAGAGGGAAACAACCCAGACCGCCAGCUAAGGUCCCAAAGUCAUGGUUAAGUGGGAAACGAUGUGGGAAGGCCCAGACAGCCAGGAUGUUGGCUUAGAAGCAGCCAUCAUUUAAAGAAAGCGUAAUAGCUCACUGGUCGAGUCGGCCUGCGCGGAAGAUGUAACGGGGCUAAACCAUGCACCGAAGCUGCGGCAGCGACGCUGAUGCGUUGUUGGGUA
rnacentral:rRNA from 1 species